rnacentral:rRNA from 1 species
CACGGAGGAUGCGAGCGUUAUCCGGAUUUAUUGGGUUUAAAGGGUGCGCAGGCGGCACGGCAAGCCGGCGGUCAAAUCGCGGGGCUCAACCCCGCCCAGCCGUCGGAACUGCCGGGCUAGAGUGGGCGAGAAGUGCGCGGAAUGCGUGGUGUAGCGGUGAAAUGCAUAGAUAUCACGCAGAACUCCGAUUGCGAAGGCAGCGCACCGGCGCCCUACUGACGCUCAGGCACGAAAGCGUGGGUAUCGAACAGG